GAACAAUGAACAUAACACGUCAGUAUUCCGUGAUCACUCCUCCUUUCUCCCAAUUCCCCACAAGAAGAAUUAUGAAGCAAGUGAGGAUCUAAAUUUCAAUGUUAAUUGUUGACAUGAAAUAACAACAGCAUGACACGUGACACUCAGAAAGUAGUUGACUCAUCGUGGACCAUAUACUAUGAUUCAGGGAGGUGAAAAAUGAGGAUCAUAAUGUGGGAUGAGAAUCUUCAACUGUAUUUUCCGUAAGACCAAUUUUUCCCGUAUCUUUGCUCCUUACCCAUCUUAC
rnacentral:lncRNA from 1 species